CACACUUUUGAUCUUGGUUCCCAGAUUAAAAUUUUUUAAGAUGUUUACCAAACUACGUUAUAUUCACAACUUUGGCUAACUCAAAGAUGUCUCAAUUAACUAAUAUAUCCUUGAGAGGUGCAUGUAGGCUUUCGGAUGUUGGAUUAAAUGUUCUUCUUACUUCUCUUUCUGGUUCUUGAUUCUGUUUUUUGUUCAUUAAGGUUAGUGGUAAAGUGUACUUCUCAAAAUAUCUUUGUUAGAAGAGAACCCAUAUAUGCAUGACCGGAUAGAGUGGGGAACAACAAUAAGAAGCAGAACCAAUGGGGUAAAGUAGUUAUGUACUAUUUCAAUGGGAUAAUAAUCUUAUACAAUGAUGAAAAACUUUAUUCAAACAGAUGAGCCUUGAUACUGGUUAAGUUAGUAUGGAGCUUGGCUCCAAGAGAUGCGACUAGCCUAUAUCAUUUUUCCUUGAUUAAUAUUGUUUCUUUUAAAAGUUUGGUUAUGAUUAAGGCAACAUAUAAUCAUGUUUGUCUC